rnacentral:rRNA from 1 species
UACAGAGGUCUCGAGCGUUGUUCGGAUUUAUUGGGCGUAAAGAGCGUGUAGGCGGCUUGGUAGGUCCGCUGUGAAAACUCGAGGCUCAACCUCGAGAUGUCGGCGGAAACCACUUGGCUAGAGUCCGGAAGAGGAGAGUGGAAUUCCUGGUGUAGCGGUGAAAUGCGCAGAUAUCAGGAAGAACACCUAUGGCGAAGGCAGCUCUCUGGGACGGUACUGACGCUGAGGAGCGAAAGCGUGGGGAGCGAACAGG